UACGUAGGGCGCAAGCGUUGUCCGGAAUUAUUGGGCGUAAAGAGCUCGUAGGCGGUCUGUCGCGUCUGCUGUGAAAACGCGGGGCUCAACCCCGCGCCUGCAGUGGGUACGGGCAGACUAGAGUGCGGUAGGGGAGACUGGAAUUCCUGGUGUAGCGGUGGAAUGCGCAGAUAUCAGGAGGAACACCAAUGGCGAAGGCAGAUCUCUGGGCCGUAACUGACGCUGAGGAGCGAAAGCAUGGGGAGCGAACAGG
rnacentral:rRNA from 1 species